UACAGAGGUCUCAAGCGUUGUUCGGAUUCAUUGGGCGUAAAGGGUGCGUAGGCGGCGCGGUAAGUCGGGUGUGAAAUCUUGGAGCUUAACUCCGAAACUGCAUUCGAUACUGCCGUGCUUGAGGACUGGAGAGGAGACUGGAAUUUACGGUGUAGCGGUGAAAUGCGUAGAUAUCAGGAGGAACACCGAUGGCGAAGGCAGCUCGCUGGGACGGUACUGACGCUGAGGCGCGAAAGCGUGGGGAGCAAACAGG
rnacentral:rRNA from 1 species